UUUUUUUUUUUUUUUUUGGUUUUUCGAGACAGGGUUUCUCUAUGUAGCCCUGGGUGGCUGUCCUGGAAUUUAUUUUUGUAGACCAGGCUGGCCUCGAACUCAGAAAUCUGUCUGCCUCUGCCUCCCAAGUGCUGGGAUUAAAGGCGUGCGCCACCACUGCCCGGCUUUUGGCCCACAUUUCUACUCCCUUUCCAGCAGCAUGGCCUCAGGUACUAGGGCGGGCUAUUGCUGCCAAGUACUUUACUUCCAUAUGUAGUAUUUCAAACUCACUAGAUAUGGUUGAGAAAGCUGUAUUUAAGGAGAUUUCCCCUUUUGAUAUAUGAAUGUUCAUGUCUUCUGGUUUCCAUGUACUUAUUCCUUUUGCUAAAAAAUACUCCAAAGAUAUUUUUUUCCUAGUAACAAAUACUUUAGUUUUCUUUUUCAUCUACAGUGUUUGUUAUUUACAUUAUCCAUGAUGUGGCUUUAUCAUGAGGUACAACCUGGGAGUUCUUUUCUGUUAUUUCACUGAGAUUCCAUGUCUCAGCUUUUGUUUGUGGUGACACUCUCGCUGCUUUUGAUCUUGCUGUGUUCUAGCAGAGAAUGAACGGAACCUUCCUAUGGGUUAAUGCUUUUCUCUUGAACUUAGUUUACACACACCCCCACUCCUCCACCCCGUCCCAUAUCAAACCCUAAUACAGGUACCCUCCACUUAAAUUUUUGGAGACAAGGUCUCUCCUUAGCUUUGAGGGUGUCAAGUAGGCUGGGCUGGCUGGGUAGCAAGCUCUAAGACUCUACUUGUCUUUUUCCACCUAGUGCUGGGUUUGCAAGUGAGAUCCACCACAGCCAGCAUUAUCUAUGUAAGGUUCUGAGGCUCACACACAUUUCCUUGCUUAUAAGGCAAGCUCUUUUGAGCAUUGAGCAUUCUGCCUAGGUUCCUCAGAUCAUUGUUUAUUGUCAUUCAGUGUACAGAAGAGAAAAUAGCAUACAAACCAGCUGGAAACCAAAUAGACAUUCUAAAACUAAAGAAAUUUCAAUGUGAGGCCUUUAAAAAUGGAUUACCCCAGCAGACUAGAGAAGUUGUGAACUAGGUGGGUCAGAUGAAAAUACAGCGAGAAAAUGAGAGAUGGGAAAGGUCUACAAGAGACAAUAGAAACAGGGCCAAGAGGUCAGCGUGCUUAAAGCCAUAAUUCCAAAGCAUGAAAAGGGAGCCAACAGCAGUAUUUAAGGAGAUAGUUUGAGAAAAGUUUCAAGCUAAUGAAAGAUACAUCUUACAAAACCCAAGAAGGAUAAAGGCAAACACAAAAAGGGGGUUCGUCAGAUUGGCUUACAGAGCAGAGGCUGGGGGGUUAAGCAGUGGCUGUCUUAGUGUGAAGAGCCGCUGCUCAGUCCAGGAAGCUGGAUUGGAGCCUCUGGAGUUCAACUAGAAAUGGGGCCCUGGGGCAUUCCGGGAGAGACACUGAUUUUCAGUCUGUCUUGGAGGCUGAAGAGAUUAUUUGGUUGUGGUGUUGGUGUGGGCUGAUAGUAGCAGUGGUAGAAACAAGAUAGAUAGAUACCCUCCUGAACAAGGGGUGAAAAGCAAGCAGCCUGCUCUUCCCGCCUCGGAUAGCUGGGAUGCCAACCAGAAGGUGCUCUCCACUCGGGUUGGUGUGAGGAUUCAGACCCCUCACUUAGACCUUCCCAGAAUACCUAAAUAGACAUGCCCAAAGGCCUCUUGAAUCUCGGUGUAACCACCACAGCACCUGAAGGAUGUUCCCUCUGGCUUCCACAGGUACACACUCAUACACAUACAAUGAACACACAUGAUUUGAGCUGUGCUGUAACAAUUUGAUCCUCCAAGUAUCAAUAUUUGCUUCUAGUAUUUGAGUACAUGUAGUAACAUCCUCAAGUUAUUUUAUUAAAUUUGAUUUCUUUUUCUGUGAUGGCUUGUCUGUUUGUAGUUCAAUUUUGCCCUGUCGAACUGUAGCCUCAAGUAGGGAACAAGUUUCCACAGCUCCCUUCCCAAUAGGUUGUGACUGCAGUUGUCUCCAGUCUGAAGAGCAAGCUGUUGAGACACCCGUGUCUUCUAAAACCAGUGAAGACCAUUAGGAAAAUAGUGCCCAAUACUAGUUUUCUUUCUAAUCCUGGAUUACUUUGUUGGCUUCUAAGUGCUUUAAGUAAAGUUUUAGGUUUAAAUCUGUUGCUAGGCAUGGUGGGACAAGCCUGUAACCACUAAACUCAGUAAGUACAGAUGGGACAUAAACAGUUUGAGAAUAGCCUGGGCCUGUAUCAAAAUAAAAACAAAAAUGAAGGAAGGACAGAUGGACUAGAGAAAAUGAAAACAGGUUGGUUUGUUUUUUUUUUGGUUUGGUUUGUUUUUUGUUUUUUUUUUGUUUUUUUUUUUUUUUUGAGAUAGCGUAUUGUCUUAGUACUUAGUACUUAGUACUUAGUACUUAGCUGGCUUUGAAAGUACAGUCUCCCACCUCUACUUUUCAAGUGGUGGAUUAGUACAUAGUCUUGAGUGAUUGUACUGCUUUGUCACUGCCAUUACUAGACAAAAAAAGGCUUCCUUUUAUCUUUCUCUUUUAAGCCAGAUUUUUUUUCCUGCACGUAGCUGUAUUUAGAUUACUCUUAAUUUUUCAAUAAAUGCAGGAUUUUAGUUCAUUUAAAACUGACUUGCUGCAUCCAUAUUGACUUUAUGAUACUCUCAAUGUAAAAGCAGUGGCAUCUAAGCCUUUUCUUCUGGUUUGGGUUUUUGUUUGUUUGGUUUGAUUUAUACUGUCUGUUUUGUUUGUUUGGUUUUGAUUUAUACUGUCUUUUGGGGGGGUGUGAAAACAGGGAUUCUCACUUCAGAAUCAUUUGAAAUGUUUUGAAAAUGUACUUAGAGUAGUAGUAGUUUUUACUUAAUUGAAAUUUGAAACAAAUGACAAUCAGCAAUUAACCUCUGAGUGCCUUGGGUGGUUUACAAACUUUGUUGUAGAUCACUAAAUCUGAGACAGAAUAAACAGAUUCUAAAUAAUCGUAUAGUACUUAAAGAUAUUGUGGGAAAGGAAACAAGAUCAACUAAUGAAAUGUUUCAAAGUCCUUGUAUGUAACAACUUUUAAAAAUCACUUUAAAUGACAUUUUCUUGUUUACUAGUUGAUCACUAGUUACCACUAGUUGACUGGGUGGUUGGGGUGUGUGCCAUGGAUUGUGUGUGGAGACGAGAGGCCCACUAGAGAGUCAUGAGUCAGCUCUUUCCUUCAACCCCAUAGGCCCCUAGGAUGGAACUCAUCAGGAUUGACAGCAAGUGGUGUUACUUGCAAAGCUAUCUUUUUUUAUAUUGUUUUUUUGAGACAGAGUUUCUUGGUAUAACAGCCCUGGCUGUUCUGAAGCUUACGUUGUAGACCAGGGUGAUCUUGAAUUCAGAAAUCUACCUGCUUCUGCCUCCCAAGUGCUGGGUUUUAAAGGCGUGAGUCACUACACCUGACACAAAGCUAUAUUCAUGGUUUUUUCUUUCUGUUUGUAUAUAUGUGCCUCUGUGUGUACAUACCAUGGCUCAUGUGUUUGUAGAGUCUCUUUGAAGUUUAUUGUUGGUUUUGGUGUGUGUUUUCUGUAUGUGCCAGGCUAGUUGGUCCACAAACUUUCUGGAAUUCGGUUUCCACCUCCCAUCUUAGUGUAGAAACCCUGGGAUUUCAGGCUUACACUACUGGAUUGACAUGGUUCCUGCCGGUUCCUUCCUGCCGGUCAUAGUCAGCUCUUCACACAUGGUUGUCAAGCCCUUUACCACCUCCGAGGCUCUCCAACCCCCAACUUUAAUUCUAAAGUAAAUUUGUUAUUUAAAGUAUUUAUCUUCAAACCACUUCCUGCUGUACAUACUUUGUUGCAGGUCCCCAAAAGCACCCUGAUAUUUGAAGGUGACUGACUAGAAUAGUACUCAUGGGUGAGACGAUUAUAGUGAUACCAUAAGGAGACACAGCUAAUCAUAAGGGGAGGUCAAGGGUGAGGUCUUGAGGGGCAUGUGCAGGCCUCUUCAUCCUUUCUCCUUUCACAAAGAGCAUUCGUCAUCAAUAAUGAGAAAAAUGCAUAGUAUUUUGGCACAGGGAAACCCAUGACAGAUUGAGCACUUAAGGUUGUUAUUAAGGACUGGGUCACACAGGUACCUUUUGCCUAACUACAUCCCAAACUCCAGACUCCUGGACAAAAACCAACUCUUUAACAUAAAUGUCAUGACUACAGUUUGACACAGUGAGCCACCCCUCUCAUUUAGGGGUUCUGCUGGUGUAGAGAACAAGUUUCCAGAUGCCGGUCUGAGGCUAAACUUGUGAGUUAGUUCUCCCUGAGAGUGGCAGUUUUAGCCUGCCUUGUUAACUUUCUAUAAACAUGCCCAGAAUGAUGCAUUGUGAACACUUCCUUCAACAUUGUAUAUCCAUACCAAAGAUCUGCUAGGUGGCUUUGCUUCUGAUUAUCAAUCAAAUGGUUAUUAUUGCCCUUAUAUAUAAUAUUUGAUGUUUAUGUCAUACUGUUUCUAUAGGCUAUUAGAAACAUGCCAGUGCCUUUUGUCAGUUUUAAUUCAUGUGAGAGGUGAUGGGACAGUAUUAGGGAAAUAGUACAUUUAAAUCAAUAUUUAGAAAAUUAAAUUAUAACAGAAUUAACCCAUUCUCAGGAUUUUGUAUAUAUCCUUUGAGGGGUUACAUCAUACCACCCACAUAUUUUUCAGGUCUUAGUGAACUUGUUUUUCCUAUGAGAGCAGUGUUUUGAAGAAUAUGUGACCAAUAUUGGCUUUAACAGUUAAGACUCAUUUGCUUUUCAGGAAUUUUG
rnacentral:lncRNA from 1 species